rnacentral:rRNA from 1 species
GAUGAACGCUGGCGGCGUGCCUAAUACAUGCAAGUCGAGCGAAGCGGGGACGGGUGAGUAACACGUGGAUAACCUCCUAUAAGACUGGGAUAACUUCGGGAAACCGGAGCUAAACCGGAUAAUUAUAGAUGGAUCCACGCUGCAUUAGCUAGUUGGUAGGGUAACGGCUUACCAAGGCAACGAUGCAUAGCCGACCUGAGAGGGUGAUCAGCCACACUGGAACUUAGACACGGUCCAGACUCCUACGGGAGGCAGAAGUAGGGAAUCUUCCGAAAUGGGCGAAAGCCUGACGAAGCCACGCCGCGUGAGUGAUGAAGGUCUUCGGAUCGUAAAGCUCUUUUAUUAGGGAAGCGGUACCUGCUCAGGAAGCCACGGCUAACUACGUGCCAGCAGCCGCGGUAAUUC